GCAGAGUUGGGCCUGGUUAAUAUGUGAUGUUUUCCUUCGGUGCUGUUUAGCCCCAGUGUUCUUUGGAGUCCGGGGAAGUUUGGCCUUUAAAAAUCAAACUGCCAUGGACACUGCUUUACCCAAAAUUUUGGUUCACAUUCUUCACUGGAUUAACUAUUGGGGCAAACAACGUAUAACCAUGUAAAACCAGUACGCUUGUAUUGGCAUUUCAUGGCUAGAGUUCUAAGUCACAAGCACCUCUUCGGCAAAGCCCACCUCCCUCUCUCGCUUGAUUCCCCGGCCAUCCUUAUCAAAGACCUUCCAGGUGAACAGGCAGCCAUCCUCAGCAGCAGUCAGCAGGAACUGAUCAUCAAAGCCAGUAGACAAGAUUUGACUCUGGAGGUGACGUCUGAGCCAAUAGGUAUUUGGAGUCUGGAGAAAAAGCCAUGCUAAUAAAUUUCUGAACUUGGAAGUCAAAAUUAUUAAGAACUUUGCGCUUCCGGCAAGGGAUGGAUGACAAUUCAUAAAUGGUGAUGGCAGGUUUUUCUUGCACAGUCUCAGAGAUAGCGAGGUACCGCCGAUUGGGACUGAUGGACAAGGCCAACAUGCCCUGACUCUUCUCUGAGCCUGCAAACAGAGGAAAAAGGAAAUAAUCAGGGUAGAUCACACUUUCACCAGGGUUCAACAGGAACCAGGCACUGUGGUGGGCACUGGAGUGGACAGUGGUGGACACAAAGAAGAAAGGCGGCCUUGGCAUAGCUGUGUUUGGGUAUUAUGAAAAUGACUAGGGGCCAGGUGUGGUGGCUCACGCCUGUAAUCCCGGCACUUCAGGGGGCCGAGGUGGGCAGAUGACUUGAAAUGGGGAGUUCAAGACCAGCCUGGCCAACAUGGUGAAACCCCA
rnacentral:lncRNA from 10 species